UACGUAGGGUGCGAGCGUUGUCCGGGAAUUACUGGGCGUAAAGAGCUCGUAGGUGGUUUGUCGCGUCGUUUGUGUAAGUCCACGGCUUAACUGUGGGAUGGCAGGCGAUACGGGCAUAACUUGAGUGCUGUAGGGGAGACUGGAAUUCCUGGUGUAGCGGUGAAAUGCGCAGAUAUCAGGAGGAACACCGAUGGCGAAGGCAGGUCUCUGGGCAGUAACUGACGCUGAGGAGCGAAAGCAUGGGUAGCGAACAGG
rnacentral:rRNA from 1 species